rnacentral:misc_RNA from 1 species
CGAAUAGGUUAGUGCCCCUCGGGGCGCUCAAUAACCUCCACCCAUUGUUUAACUUACCAUUGUUGCUUUGGCGAGCCGCGGGAGUAAUCCCCCGCCGGUCUCGUGCUAGCGAGUGUUCGCCAAAAGCCUUCUGUUUAAACUUCUUUUAAAACGAUGUCAGUCUGAAAGGAAUUAUUUAAUAUAAGCAA